GAUGAACGCUGGCGGCGUGCCUAAUACAUGCAAGUCGAGCGAACAGACGAGGAGCUUGCUCCUCUGACGUUAGCGGCGGACGGGUGAGUAACACGUGGAUAACCUAUCUAUAAGACUGGGAUAACUUCGGGAAACCGGAGCUAAUACCGGAUAAUAUAUUGAACCGCAUGGUUCAAUAGUGAAAGACGGUUUUGCUGUCACUUAUAGAUGGAUCCGCGUCGCAUUAGCUAGUUGGUAAGGUAACGGCUUACCAAGGCAACGAUGCGUAGCCGACCUGAGAGGGUGAUCGGCCACACUGGAACUGAGACACGGUCCAGACUCCUACGGGAGGCAGCAGUAGGGAAUCUUGCGCAAUGGGCGAAAGCCUGACGGAGCAACGCCGCGUGAGUGAUGAAGGUCUUCGGAUCGUAAAACUCUGUUAUUAGGGAAGAACAAAUGUGUAAGUAACUAUGCACGUCUUGACGGUACCUAAUCAGAAAGCCACGGCUAAAUACGUG
rnacentral:rRNA from 1 species